GGGACGGGUGAGUAACACGUGGAUAACCUACCUAUAAGACUGGGAUAACUUCGGGAAACCGGAGCUAAUACCGGAUAAUAUAUUGAACCGCAUGGUUCAAUAGUGAAAGACGGUUUUGCUGUCACUUAUAGAUGGAUCCGCGCCGCAUUAGCUAGUUGGUAAGGUAACGGCUUACCAAGGCAACGAUGCGUAGCCGACCUGAGAGGGUGAUCGGCCACACUGGAACUGAGACACGGUCCAG
rnacentral:rRNA from 1 species